AUUGAACGCUGGCGGCAGGCCUAACACAUGCAAGUCGAGCGGAUGAAGGGAGCUUGCUCCUGGAUUCAGCGGCGGACGGGAGAGUAAUGCCUAGGAAUCUGCCUGGUAGUGGGGGAUAACGUCCGGAAACGGGCGCUAAUACCGCAUACGUCCUGAGGGAGAAAGUGUGGGAUCUUCGGACCUCACGCUAUCAGAUGAGCCUAGGUCGGAUUAGCUAGUUGGUGGGGUAAAGGCCUACCAAGGCGACGAUCCGUAACUGGUCUGAGAGGAUGAUCAGUCACACUGGAACUGAGACACGGUCCAGACUCCUACGGGAGGCAGCAGUGGGGAAUAUUGGACAAUGGGCGCAAGCCUGAUCCAGCCAUGCCGCGUGUGUGAAGAAGGUCUUCGGAUUGUAAAGCACUUUAAGUUGGGAGGAAGGGCAGUAAGUUAAUACCUUGCUGUUUUGACGUUACCAACAGAAUAAGCACCGGCUAACUUCGUG
rnacentral:rRNA from 1 species